CAUUUUUUGAUCAGCUGGAUUUUAUCAUCCAGCUAAUUUUAAAGGAGGGUUCAUGAGUGUUCCAUUUCCUAAAAUGAUUAGAGUGGAAUGGAUGGGGCCUGCCACUCUAUUUUCUAGAAAAAGUAAAAAUCUGUAAUGAUGGAUGCAGCCAGAGUAGUGGCAAUUUUUCUAUCUCUUCUUGUCACAUUGGUACUAUGAAUGAUAAUAUUUUAUGAUGGGAAAGUUCCAGAGACUAGAGCCAGCAAUGCCUAAUGCCCAUACAGUAAUACAGAAAGUCUCAAAAGUAGGUAACUAGAUCAGUAAAUGUAUAGGACUGUUACACAUUUUAUAGUGGUGGUGGUGUAUGUGUGUGUGUACUUACAGAUAUGAUAAAGGCUUACAUAAUUGAUCACUGCCUCAGUAAGUUAUUUUUGUAACAAACCACCAUAGAAUCUCUGUGGCAGAAAACAGUGAUCAAUAUUUCCAGCCAUCUGCCUGUGUGUUCACUGUGGUUUGGCUAAUAUAGGCUUGGCUCAGGCUGGUUUUACUUCGAGCUUUGUUCUAAGCCUUGCCUGUUCCUGUAGAUUGGGCUCUAGUCUUCUCAACAUGUGUUCUUUGUGUGUCCCAGCCUUAGGAGCCAACAGCCAUCUAGAAGAGGCUCUUUUUGGGGUGAUGGAAAAGGUGAUAGAAAGCAAGACCAACCACACAAGUACCUUUGAAGUCUUUGCUUAUGUCAUGUUCACUAAUAUUCCUCUGGCCAGAACAAGUUACAUGGCUAAGCCCAACAUCAAAGGGUCUAGUGGGAGGAACUGCAAAAGGAAGUAGACACAGGGAGGGGUGAAGUCCUGGGAACAACGAUGCAAUCUAACACAAUUGUAAUGAUAGCUUUCCAUAAAAAGAAAACAAAUAUAAAAAUACCUGGGCCCUCUUGUGUAUGAAUGCCUUUCAAAUUGUAUGGUUAAUCUCAUUAGGAGGGGAGAUGCAUUUUCCUGCUAAUAUUAAAUUGGAAACUAACAGAAGGGUAAUGUGAAUUUCUAAACAAAAGGAGAUUUAUGGCAUUAUUGCAUGCUAAUCUUCUGAUAAGAGUAGCCACCCACUUAUAAAUAACUUUCACAGUUCUUUUGGAAGCUUCCUGGGAAUUGUCCAUUUUCAUUCACAUUUGUAAUCUCUGACCUAUUCCAAGAGUGCAGUAUAGUGUGAUGUAUUUUAUUUUUAGAACUAGUCUUAACCCUGUUAGUAUCUUAUAAAAUGAACUGGUCAAACAUUAACCCAUAAAUGUUGAAUAUAUCAGGAAAAGGAUACCCAAGAGGUGAAUUAGUAAUUCUUAAGUAUUGUGUAGUUGACUGCUAAAAUUAGUAUAGUUUGUGCUAUUGUGAUUGGUAAUUAAAAUAUCUUGUAAAUGUUUCAGAGGAGAACUGUGUAAAGCAAAUGAUUUAAAAAUUAAAAUGAGAAGUGUCCCAAUGGGUGAGUAGUUGUAAUAUUUAAAAAUGAUGUUACCUAAAUGAACAAGAUAUAUGUUUUCUUUUAUCAGUAUUAAGAGAAUUAUAAUUGCCUAUGUAGAUGCAAGACAUUUCUAUUUUAAUUUUACAUAGAAGCAAAGGUAUGGAAAGAUAAAGAAAAGCAAAGAUAAAGGAAAGACAAGGAAAAUGGGUCUCUAUUACUUCUAUAUCAGAAACAUCGGCAGGGAUACUUUCAUCCAAUCAUAGGAAAUACAAUGAACUUGUGGUUGAAUGUGCUAGAAAGUUUUAUCAAAUUGUAAAAUUUGUCAAAACUGCAAUACAUUAUCAUCGAUAUCUUAAGAAACAUGGAUAUGAUAAUGAAUUUAAUUUUCAGUCACUCAGAUUUUCUACAGUUGUAUUAUUCAUGGUGAAAUUCAUUCAACAAAUUUAUCUGUUUCAACUUGGUAGGAUUCAGGAACUGACAACUUCCCACUUCUUUGAUAUUUGUCAUCCUCACAUUCCCUUAGAAACCUCAAUACUCAACCAUUUACCAUGCUUUAAGGGAAUGUUUCACUAGGAAAAAAAAUUUGCACAAGUGUGGAAAAGAAGAAAAAUAGAAUUUUUACAGAAUAUCAAAGAAAAAGUCAUGAUGUGAACACUGCAUAGUAUGUUCCUAGCGUAUCUUGAAUUAAUAGUGAACAUGUGGUUUCACUGAUUUUCUUUCCCCCAUAUACUGAUAUAUAAAUAUAUGAGAAACUUGGAUUCCAUAUCAAGCACUAAAGUCAGAGUUCUUAUGUAACAUACCAUCUUUGAAAAACUGAAUUCUGAAUGACAGGUGGUUCCAAUACCCGCCUGUUAUUAAGUGUGGUUUGUGUUCCCCAUUUUGUUCUAGCACACAUUCUUAAUCCCCUUUUUGUGAAACUUGAUUAAUCAUUAAACAGGUUGGAGUGUACAAACCACCUGAAAUUCUCAGAUAAGUAGUUUCUUAACAUCUCUUUUUGUUAUUUGCUGUUAAAAAAAGUUAGCAUUAUUUUCCUCGAUUAUGUGAAAUUGCUCCCUUUGCACAUUCUUUUGAAACAAAUUGUUUCUAAGUACCAAUACGGUGAUUUUGAAGUUUGAAACGUCUUAAACUUUCCCAUCAUGGACAAGUUAUGUUUUGUAGUUGGUGAGAUCAAUACCCGCAUGCAGCUCCGUGUUUAUGGUGGCACAACAAAAUGAAGAUUUCAGAUAAUUAUCUUGAUAGUCAGGCCUCCAGGUCUGUUGGCUGCUGUGUUUACAGGGCAAAGCAAGCUGGACGCUGGGCUGUCUAUGGGCAGCCUGUUAAGUACAUAAUGCUCCCAUUGCUUUCUAUUCUCAGCACCCAAGUCACUUGCUGGGUGUAAGUUGGGUAUUUAAGGGUGAGCAUUAACUCUCGUGGGUCACCAGGGAACCAUUUAAUAAGUAACUAAGGGCCCGGAGAUGUUCAUGUAUUUCUGUAAAUGCCCCGGUUUUGUUACGGGUGCAGUUCAUUGAAGGUCAUUCCACAGUUUCAAAUAUUUAAUGUCCUUUCCCAAGUGAGUGACCCAGGUCUGGUAGACAAGAGGGCUGAUAGGUUAUUUGUAGCUAGCUGGUCCGUAGUAAGCUAAUCAAGUUCAUAAUGAUUAUAUUCUGGCAAGGAAAAGCUAAUCGGCAGAUAUAAUAGGGGUUCAGAGAGGCUAAAAUAAAUCUGAGAGAUAAUAAAAACAACCUCAUUAGACAAGAGUGUAUAUAUGCGUAGUUUUGUGAAUAUUUCUUUGCUAACUUUUUAUUUUGAUAUAUUUUAAACUUAAAGAAAAUUUUCAAGAUUAAAACAAGGUACAGCUUUCCAUCCUUUACACAUAUUUGCUGAUUAUUUAUCAUUUUCCCCACUUCUUUCAUCUUUCUGUCUAUCUACCAAGCUAUUGAUCCACAUAAAAUGUUUUUUCCUGAACCAUUUGGGGGUAAGGUGUAGUCAUGAUGCCCUUUGACCCUUAAAUAAUUCAGUGUAUAUAUUCAAAGGACAAGGACUUUUUAAAACAUAAACACAGGGCAUAAUCAUCGAAAUCAGGACAUUUAAUAAUGAUAUAUACAUUACUAUAAUAAUGAUACAUAAUACUACUACAUGACUAUGGAUAUUUUCUUUUUCUUUUCUUUUCUUUUUUGAUAAAUUAUAUGGAGAGAAACAAGAAAAUGAAAAUGAAUGACUUCAGUUCCAAAAUACCAUCACAUUAGUUGCCCUGGGGUAGAUUGUUAUGCUAAAUUCCAGUUAUAAAGUUGCUAGAUGAUCCAAAUGCCAAUUAGAUGAGGGUCACUUAUUCAAUAAGUCCUGUGCGUAUUUUAGUCAUUCGAAGGUUUCUUUUUUUUUUCCCCAAUGACUUACCAAGGAGAUGAUUAUGGGCACUUAUUCAAACCCAACUUUCACAUUGCAUUUGUAAAGCACAUUUGAAUUAAAAAUGCCAGGAAGGUUGACUUUGACCUUAAUAUUCAGCCAUAACUCCCUCUCUUUGGAGAUGAAUAUUCAGGUGAACUUCAUUGCUCCUUGAACUUGAUCACCUUCAUAUUGGAUUUCCAGUUUUAAGUAUAGAAUUUAGUACAAAUAUAAUUAAGAUAUAAUACAAGGCAGAUAAAAUCCAUCUAAAAAGAAGAGAACUGUUAAUUUAACAACAUACCUUGCAGGAGAGUCAGUGUAAUGAUAUAAGUAAUACGAACAGGCAUGCUAUUUGGAUGUCAGAUUUUUUUUGAAGUCAUCAAUUUGUUCAGAUGUUCUAAUGUAGCACUAUUAUAGUAAUAAUUAAGAAGGUUAAAUCCUUCUUUGUGAAGAUGUUAGAUGCCUGUCUAUUAGAAUCAUCUGUUCACACUUGACUAGCUCAUGUUCAUUUUUACAGUCUUUGUUUCAAGAAAUUAUAUUAAGCCAGAUGGACUUCUAAUGCCUUUGAAGCCAAGUCAAAGAACAUAAGGCUGAACUGUAGACUGAGUCACUUAUUCACAAUGAGGAAGAAUUUAUGUGCAUUGUUUGUUAACAGAAAAAGAUCAAAACCCAAAUCAAAUGUUUGAAAAUGGGAACCAAUCAAAUAAACCCUGGUAGAUCCAGCCAUGGAAUACUAUGCAGCUGUAUAAGAAAAAUAAAAAAGAAGAAGAAUGAAGAUAUACUCUGUGUACUGAUUUGGAGAUAAGUUCUGAAAGGAAAACAAGGAUAAUCUCAUUUGCAUGUGUUUGCAUGAAGAAACUAGAAGGAGAUAUAUAAAAAAAAAAAGGAAUAAAAAUGUUGUAUGGUGGGUGGAAACCGGCAGAUGGAGUCAGGGGUGGAUGUAAAAGUCUUCACCGUGUAAACCUUUUUAUACUUAAAAAAUGUUUUGAUCUGUGUUCAUGUACUAGUUAGUGAAAGAAAUUAAAAAGAGAAUUAUUGCAUUCAAAUAUGCAGAGACUGCUAAUUUUUCACCCCAACACCUAUCCUAAUUGUUAUGAUUUUAAACUGAAACACUGUCCUCUAGGCCUUAAAUAAUUUUUUCCUGCUUCCCUUGCAGCUAGGUAUGGCUCUAAGACCAGUGAGAUAGUGUGAGAUAUCUUGGUACUUAUACAUGAAUCUAUUCAGGUGUGAGGGCCUUUCUACCCUGCUUUCUUCUUCCUAAAUAUGGAGUUGAUGUCCAGAGCCCCAGUAGACAUCUUGGCCAAUGAAAUGACCUUGAUAAUUGAAAACCAUUUAUAAGAGAGCAGCGGAGAAAGAUAGAAACAUGAAUUCCUGAACACUAUGGAGCUAACAUAGAGGUUUCUUCUUGGUUUCUCUUAUGUGAAAAGCAAGCAAACAAACGAAGCUCUUAGCUUGUGUGCACCACCCUUACUUUGAUUUUUAUGUUGUUGAUUAUACUUUGGAAUCAAAUCCAGUAUUUACCCCCAGUGUAGGAAAAUGGUGUCUUCCUUAUUUAAGACCGUUUCCUUUGUGAAUUUUGCUAGGGCAUUCUAAGCCUCUGACCUUGUUUCAAAUCUAGUCCCUCUUUGGGUUGGUACAACAUGGCUGUGAUAAGUAUUUCUGAAGAAUUAUGAGAUAUGAGUGUUAUCUGUCACUGUGUUUUGCAGUCCUAAGUGCCAAUGUUGGAAAGAUUCCUGUAUAUGCAUCAUGUCACUUUUCUUUUUAAUGUAGACACACAGCUGAAUUUUUAAUAUUUAAUAAGCAGUUAAAAUAAUCAUACUUGCUAUGUCAAAAUAAAUAUUCAGAUUUUCAAUCACGGACUUAAGGAUGUGAAAAUACAUCGAAUUUAAGAAAGAUACAUGUCUGUUUUAUUGCUAUACCUAUAAUUCAGGCAAAAAAAUGUGUGAUGAGAAAGGGAAAAGGACAUGGAGACAUGGAGACAUUUAUUUUUCAGAUUCAUGGGAUAUUUGCUGAAGUGGGAAAGGCUGAUGUAUUUUCAGCCAAGACAUCUGGUAAUAAAUAAACUAUAUCCACUGUGUAAAUAUUAACCUUUUUUUUUUUUCAAAAGGAUUUGAUAGCGGGGUGCCUAGCUAGCUCAGUCGGUAGCACUUGCGGCUUUUGAUCCUGGGGUUGUGAGUUCAAGCCCCACAUUGGGGAGAUUACUUAAAAUGAAAACAAAAGAAAACAACCUCCUAAAAGAUUUGAUAGCAAAAAGAUAUUGUUAUUUCAUUGCUAGAAGACUCACAUUUUUUCACAUUAGAAGGGGAAGGGAAUUUCAUCAGUGGUCACAUGAUACUAUCUGUCUAAACCAACUCUUGCUCACUGAAGUAAUAUACUAACCCCACUAAAGAGUAGAGUUAAUAGAAGAAGCAGAUAAUUUCAACUGGUGUUUCAUAAUAUCUAAUUUUUUUUAGACCUGGGAUGGCUUCUUCAGGGUACCUUAUACUGAAUCUAAUUUGCAUACCCAAUUUAGCAGUCUCUUUUUCUGCUUUAACUAGAAAAAAUAUUCUAAAACACAUUUUACAUAAUUAUUCUACUUAUGGAGAUGGGCUUUCCCACAUGCUAUUAAGUAGAAAAUCUUUCAGGAAAGCAAAGAAGAAACUAUGCAAAAAGAAAAUAUUUUUUUGAAAGAAGCUUGGAAGAUAUGGCAAUAAUUCAUGUUAUUCAAGAUAAAGCUCCUUCUCUUCAUAACACAACAAUUUAUACAGAUAGAGGUGAUAUGUCCUUUAUACUAAAUAUAGUCUUUAUUCAUUCAUUUCUGUAUUCAUCAUGCUGAAAAUAUUUAUUGAUCAUCUACUUUGUACCAGAUGUCAUAGAGCUUUGUAAAGGAGUCUUACAAUGAAUGAAUUCUUCAGUAAAUGUUGGUGACUAUCAGUUGAGAUAGAUCAAUUAUCAAUUGAGCUAUGGAGGGGGGAGUAGGCCAUUCUGCAAGAGUAUAUGACAAAGGGGGCAUGUGGGUGUCUCAAUGGGUUAAGUGUCUGCCUUUGGCUCAGGUCCAUGAUCCCAGGGUUCUGGGAUCGAGCCCCGCAUCGGGCUCCCUGCUCCACAUGAAGCCUGCUUCUCCCUCUCCCACUCCCCCUGCUUGUGUUCCCUCUCUCGCUGUCUCUCUCUCUGUGAAAUAAAUAAAUAAAAUCUUUUAAAAAAAAGUGUAUGACAAAGGAAUAUGCCUCAAGCUGUGGUCUUGGAGUACACGGAGCUAGUGGGGGCUGAGGUCUAGGUAAAUUGUGGGUGCAGGUGGGGUGUGUACCUCAUAUUCUAGGUGAGUUCUGUAGAGUUUUGCAACAUGGAGGAGCAUUAUCUCUGUCACCUGUAGAACUUUACAAGGUGAGGCCAAUGUAGGUGGAGCUUGGAUAGCUAAAGGAGGAAACAGGGGAGAUAAAGGGGAAGUGGGAGGCGGGGUGGGCAAGGCCAUUUAAGGCCUUAAGGAUGUCUUUAUUCUGCAGUCGAUGGGAAUCCAUGGAAAGAUUUUGGAGAGACAGCAAGUAAGAGAGAGAAAGGCCACAACAGAAUGGAUGUCAAAAACUAGUAGAGGGAAUAGACAUAGGUGGGAGGGUAGGGGUGGUGGUGAAUUAAGGUGGUGGCAGAGGAGAGGGAAUAAAACUACAUAUUUGAGAAAAAAUUAGGAGAAUAAAACUGAUAGGAACAGAUCACGUAUAUUUUGAUCAUUAGCAGAUUGGAAAACUAUAUUAACCUUUUUUUUGAAGUAAUUUAGACCUAUGUAAAAGUUGCAAAAUAGUACAGAGUGUUCCCGUAUACAUCUCAUUCAACUUCCCAUAUUGUUAACAGGACACCAACUAUUUUUUUUUUUUUUUUUAGAGAGAGAGAGAAUGUGUGUCAGUGAGGGGAGAAGCAGAGGGAGAGGGAGAGAGAGAAUCUUAAGCAGGCUCCCUGCCCAGUGUGGAGUCUGCCUGUGGCUCUAUCUCAUGACCCUGAGAUCUUGAUCUGAGCUGAAAUCAAGAGUCAGAUGCUUAAAUGACUGAGUCACCCAGGCGCCCCAGGACAUCAACUAUCCUUUUCAUUCUAAUAAUUUUUCUGAAGAUUCUCUUGGAUUUUCCAUGUAGAAAAGUAAUAAAUAUGUAAUAUGUACAUAAUUACAUUUUUCUUUCCAAAUACUUUUAUCAUUACUUAAUUUAUUAUUCAUUCAAUUCUUUCAUUCAUUUAUCUUCUUGGAUCACCUAGGGCCUCUGGUACAAUACUGAAUAAAUUUUCCCUGAUCUUAAAGGGCUGAGUAUUUUCCCUGAUCUUAAAGGGCUGCUUCUUAUGUUCUACUCUUGAGUAUGAUGUCUGUCUCAAAUAUGGAGAAGAUACUCCUUUAAUAAGUUAAGUUCUCUUCUAGAUCUGAUUUAUUAAGGGCUUUAGAACAAUCAUAAAUAGGUGUUAAGUUUUGUCAAAUGACUUCUCUGCAUAUACUGAAAUGAGCUUUUCUCUUCUCAUAUGUUAGGAUAAACCCUACUAGCUCAUUGUGGCAAUCUGCUUGCUAGUAUUUUAUUUUGCUUCUAUCUUCACAAGUGAGACAGAUCUAGGAUUAUUUUUUCUUGUAUUUUCCAUGUUCAAUAUCAAGAUAAUAUAGCUUCAUAAAAUAAGUUGGAGUAAUUGUCUUGUUUUUUAUUAGUUAUUUAAUUUUUGUUAUGUUCUCAAAUCUUUUCAGUUAUUUACCUUUGUCCCUUUCUUAUGUGUUAUUAAGAAAAGGGUUCUUUCAUGAGAGACUAUGGACUCUGAGAAACAAACUAAGGGUUCUAGAGGGGAGGGGGUGGGAGGAUGGGUUAACCCAGUGAUGGGUAUUAAAGAGGGCAUGUAUUGCAUGGAGCACUGGGCGUUAUGCACAAACAAUGAAUCAUGGAUCACUACAUCAAAAACUAAUGAUGUAAUGUAUGGUGAUUAACAUAACAUAAUAAAAUUAAAUUAAAAAAAUAAAAGAUUAAAAAAAGAAAAGGUUUUUUUGUCAACAUUAUAAAAAUACCCACCUACUUUUCUUAUAUUUUAGAUAUUGUAUUUUAUUCUGUUAGCCUUUAAAUCUUGAGUAGAUAACUAAGGGUUUGCUCCUCCAUAUAUGUGACCAACAUAGGGCUAUGCAAUUCUUAUUUUAAAACCAGAGAAAAAUUUCCAAAGCUGUUUUUAGCAGGAGCUUCAAAUAUAUUUUUCAUGGUACCAGCUGGGAUGCCCAAGAGAAUUGCUAUAGGUUUCAGGCUUAAAAUAAAUCCAAGUAUCUACCUAAUUCAACAAUGAUUCUGUGCUUAAUGCAGAAGUAAGCCUUAGUCUCAAAAUAUAACUAGACAAGAAAAUUUAAUUCAGGAAUCUAUCCAAUUCAUAUAGACUAUUACUCAGCCAGAGCUGAAGAUUUACUUUAGCAAGGAGUUGGAAUUCCUUAGCAUACAGAAGCAAGGUCAAUCUCUGGAAAAAAAAUGUGAUGUUCUGCACCUGUGGAGCAAAAUUUGACAUUUUCAGUCAAUGACAUGAUUUUAGAUUAAUGCCAAAUGAACUUAAAGGAAAAUAACGUUUAAAAAAAUGAGCAGAUACAUGAAGAAUACAGUUUACCUACAGUAUGAAUGAAGAAGUGUACAGUUUUUACCUAUGAUGGGUGUUGUAGGUCCUUGAUUCUUGACUAUAUUUAGUACCUGCAUUAGAAUGAGUUUCCAACAUGGCUAAUCUUAAUAUUAAUUUUUUUUCCCUCAGCCAGUAUAUUCAGGAAGUCAGUAUUUUUGGAUGUUGUUGCUGUCUUCUUGGCAUUUGCCUACUUUUUUUUAAUGGUUGUUAAUGUCAAUAUUAUACUUUUAGGAGCUUCAGCCAUUGUAUGUAUUGUGUGUGCAUGUAUAUGCUUACCCUUAGUACACAGUCUGUUUCUAUAAUGAUAUCUAUGUCUGUGGGUAUUUAUAACAGAUAUGCAGACAUUCAAAUGCUGAAGCCAUUCAAAUAUUUGUUGGGCUAGAUAAUUCUGAUAUCACACAUGGGAGGUUGCUUGUUUUUCUGCUUAAUUCACUGACAUGUAUUGACAGUACCUUGUGUACUAAGCAAUGCAUUGUAUUCUGGGUUUUCAAACACAAUGAAAAUGUCAUAACAGAAACAGGGGACUGUGUACAAUGAUCACAGUAGAUAAUAUAAUGAUUGAUAUUCUAUAUCACGAAUAAGGUGCUGAGAGAGCACAGGGGAGGAAUCAAUCUGUUUUGCAGAGGUUUGGGGUGGAUGUGGGAACAGAGAUGAGGGACACACAGAGAAAGUAGAAUUUGGUCUAGUCCUUGAAGGGAGGUUUAUUUCAGGUAGAAGGG